rnacentral:rRNA from 1 species
CCUACGGGUGGCAGCAGUGAGGAAUAUUGGUCAAUGGGCGCGAGCCUGAACCAGCCAAGUAGCGUGAAGGAUGACGGCCCUACGGGUUGUAAACUUCUUUUAUAAAGGCAUAAAGUGAGGCACGUGUGCCUUUAUGUAUGUACUUUAUGAAUAAGGAUCGGCUAACUCCGUGCCAGCAGCCGCGGUAAUACGGAGGAUCCGCGCGUUAUCCGGAUUUAUUGGGUUUAAAGGGAGCGUAGAUGGGUUGUUAAGUCAGUUGUGAAAGUUAGGGGCUCAACCGUAGAAUUGCAGUUGAUACUGGCAGUCUUGAGUACAGUAGAGGUAGGCGGAAUUCGUGGUGUAGCGGUGAAAUGCUUAGAUAUCACGAAGAACUCCGAUUGCGAAGGCAGCCUACUAAACUGCCACUGACACUGAGGCUCGAAAGCGUGGGUAGCAAACAGGAUUAGAUACCCGAGUAGUC